AGAGUUUGAUCCUGGCUCAGAGCGAACGCUGGCGGCGUGCUUAACACAUGCAAGUCGAGUGCGCGCCUGUAGCAAUACAGGUGGCGCACGGCGCACGGGUGCGUAACACGUGGGUAAUCUGCCCUUCGAUGGGGAAUAACUCCGGGAAACCGAAGCUAAUUCCGCAUAACAUUCCUUGAACUUCGGUUUGGGGACUCAAAGCCGUAAGGCGUCGGAGGAGGAACCCGCGCACGAUUAGCUAGUUGGUAGGGUAACGGCCUACCAAGGCUUUGAUCGUUAGCUGGUCUGAGAGGAUGGCCAGCCACACUGGAACUGAGACACGGUCCAGACUCCUACGGGAGGCAGCAGUGGGGAAUCUUGCACAAUGGGCGAAAGCCUGAUGCAGCGACGCCGCGUGGGGGAUGAAGCUUUUCGGAGUGUAAACCCCUUUCGACCCGGACGAAUGCCCCGCAAGGGGACUGACGGUACGGGUAUAAGAAGCCCCGGCUAACUACGUGCCAGCAGCCGCGGUAAGACGUGGGGGGCCAGCGUUGCUCGGAAUUACUGGGUGUAAAGGGUUCGUAGGCGGUGUAGCAAGUCGGGAGUGAAAUCUCUGGGCUCAACCCAGAGACUGCUUCCGAAACUGCUGUGCUUGAGUGUGGGAGAGGCGCGUGGAAUUGCAGGUGUAGCGGUGAAAUGCGUAGAUAUCUGCAGGAACACCCGUGGCGAAAGCGGCGCGCUGGUCCACUACUGACGCUGAGGAACGAAAGCUAGGGGAGCAAACAGGAUUAGAUACCCUGGUAGUCCUAGCCCUAAACGAUCAGGACUUGGGGUGCCGCACGUUCGUG
rnacentral:rRNA from 1 species